GGCCCUGGGAUCGUGACUUGAGCCAAAGGCAGCUGCUUAACCGACAGAGCCACCCAGGCACCCCAGCACAAGUGUUUUCUAAAGGGUGGUGAAAGGGCUUCCUUAGAGUGUGAGCUCACAGAUUCCUAACUGGCCUGAGUCCAAGGUUCCAGUGCCAUGGGAGGACAGGGCUUUCUCCAAAGCAAGGUGAGGGCUGAUGCUUCUGUCCAGGGUCAGCAUGGGUUUCCUGUUGCUAAUUAGACAAAGGGUUCCCUUAGAGAGUCAGGCUAGGGCAGCUGUUCUGGGAGGUAAGAGCUGGGGCUCCUGAGCAAGGGAGGGCCAGGCACAUGUCCAGCACAGUUUCUGAGAGGGGUUUCUGUUCCAGAUGCAGACAGGGGCUCUUACAGGUUAAGAGGGCUGGGGUUCUGUGGGAUGGCCAGGGAGGCAGGAGGCUUUUACAAAGACCAGGGAGGUUCUGGACAAUCCCUGUAAUGAACAUGGACUGCCAUGAUUCUGCAGAGGGCCCGCGUGGCCAGUAGCUGAAGGAGAGCUGUCCUGAGAACAUCUGCUUACCCCUACUAUGUUCAGGACCUGCGGGCCCACGGUCUUUGCUCUGGGGCUCUGGGGGAAAGCCAUAAAGAGAAGCAACCCAAAAGCAAAUUCAGAUGUGAGUGGAUUGAGUGAUGAGAGCAAGAGCAAGGGAGGGGGGUAGAGAGAGAGGCAGCCCAGUUAAGUAUGAGCAAGACUCAUAUGGGGGGGAAGUGGUAUCCAAAAUCCACUCCUUAAACUCUGUGUGGCCAGGGCAAGUAACACCAGUUAUGAGCCUUACUUUUUCAUUAGCAAAACAAAAAUGUAAAGUGUGUAAUAUACUUUCCUUUCCUUGGAGUAAUUCUUUUUCCAGGUGUUUAUGAACUAAAGCAACUGAAGCUUCCCAGCUAUGCCCGACCCACAGUAAAUGCUCAGCAAAUGGGGCUCCUUGCUAUCAGGAGCUGCGGGGUGGUAUGGAGACUAAACCACAGAACCUGGCUUGGCCCCCUGUCUCAGCUAUGUGGCCUCCAGUGAGCUACUUAACCUCUCUGGCUCGGGGUGUCACCUGACUCCACACAGGCUCCUAUGUAAGGGUUUUCCAUUUUGGAAUUUCUUUUUUCUUAAGUAGGCCCAAAAUGGGGCUUGAACUCAUGACCCUGAGAUCAAGACCUCAUCUGAAGAGUCUGAGGCUUAACUGCCUGAGCCACACUGGUGCCCCAGGGUUUUCCAUUGCGGAAGAACAGAUUCUACUCAGGGUGGGGAACAGCUGGCCCAGAGCUGCAGGCCGAGCUGGGCCCAAAGAGAUAAGCGAUGACUGACAGGGAAGGUCCCCCGGAUAGCCUCAUGGUCGCACACUGGCCUUCUGACCUUCUGGACAGCUCCCAUUCCAGUCCCCUCUUCCCCCCCGCCCCCCUUUCCUCUCCAGCACAUGUCUUGUGUCCUCUGGAAAGGGGUCCCUGAUGUAGACCCAGCUGAAACUCUGCAUGUUGAUACUUUCCACGAACGAGUACACACAGAACUGCUUACACCUGACAGCCACUCAAGAGACACUGUGGCCUGGCACACACCACGGGAUCUGCACUCCCACAUGUGUAGACUUGCAGAGAAAUGCUGCCGUUACCCGAGCCCCAGGGCUCACUGGAUGUGCAGACCCCCAUGGUGCUGCUCUUAGACUUCACAUGCCCCCACACACAGCCCGCGUUCAACGUUCCAGAAGCAUCUGUCCGUCCAGAUGCCUUGCGGUUUCGAGUCUGGAUACCAUCCUUCCGCAUGGUCAGUGGUCGGUUCACCUGCCAAAAGGGAGGUCCACGGUGUUUCCCAACUCCACAUCUUUGCCUCUGUGUCUUGACCAGGGAGGCCAUCUCCAUCCCACCUCGUUAAGCAUAGGGAAUUAUUUCAGGGACUAGGGGAGCAUGACCCUGCUAUGGUGCAGGGAUUGACCUAAGGAAUCCCAAGGAGGAAGGAGGAGGGUCAGGAGGUCAUGGAAGGGUGUGAAGAGAUGAAGGAAUGGGAGGAGGGAGGAUGAGGACCAAGGUGGAGGGGAAUAGAGAAGGAAGGAGGAAGCAGAAAAGGUGGGGAGAGGGGAGGGUUAUGAGGGCAAGUAGACAUGGGGAUGCAACAGGAGCAGGGGAGGAGGGAGGCUGGGGAUGAGGCAAGACAAACCUGGU